UCGUUGAGAGCCCCUUGUUAACAGCUCCCAGUCGAGAGACAGCUCCAGACCCCCAGACGUGGUCGGCGACAGAGUCUUUUCAGUCAGUUUCGGCUUGUUCCGAGCGGCCCCGAGGGACGGCGUUGAUCCAAAGUUUGCAAGGUGUUUCGGAAAGGCUCCCGCCAGUAACGCUGUUCCGGGCUGCAGCGCAGAAUUCAAGCCUCUCUCAGCAUCUGACGCAGCUGCCUCUUAAAGCGAGGAAUAAUAUUCCAAUUCCCGAGCACGCCCACAAAAUUCGCCGCCGGAGGAAACCGGAGAACCCAGAGGAAACCCACACACUCACGGGAAUAAUGUACAAACUCCUGACAGGCAGCAGUAGGAACUGAAUCUGGAUCUCCUGUAUGGUAAAGCUUGUGCUAACCGCUAUGCUACUGUGCUACCCAUGGCUAGCAAUCAAGAAUAAAUUCAAAUUUUCAUUAUUAAGUUUGCAAUGCUACCUGACCUGCUGAAUAUUUCCAUCAUUCUCGGAUUAUAUUUUGGACAGUUAAGAAAGAAAAGAGAUGUUAAAGAAUAUAAUGUGAGAAAAUACAAAUUGUCUACUUGGAUAGGAAAAAUGAAAUAAA